rnacentral:rRNA from 1 species
GACGAGCGCUGGCGGCGUGCCUAACACAUGCCAGUCGAGCGGGGAUUUAAGUGGAAGUUCUUCGGAAUGGAGAUUUAAAUUCUAGCGGCGGACGGGUGAGUAACGCGUGAACAAUCUGUCCCGGACAGGGGGAUAACACUUGGAAACAGGUGCUAAUACCGCAUAAGACCACGGCCUCGCAUGGGGCUGAGGUAAAAGGAGCAAUCCGGUUCGGGGUGAGUUCGCGUCCGAUUAGCUAGUUGGUGAGGUAACGGCCCACCAAGGCGACGAUCGGUAGCCGGCCUGAGAGGGUGAACGGCCACAUUGGAACUGAGAGACGGUCCAAACUCCUACGGGAGGCAGCAGUGGGGAAUAUUGGGCAAUGGGCGAAAGCCUGACCCAGCAACGCCGCGUGAGGGAAGAAGGUUUUCGGAUUGUAAACCUCUGUCCUAUGGGACGAAGGAAGUGACGGUACCAUAGGAGGAAGCCCCGGCUAACUACGUG